AUUCCAGCUCCAGUAGCGUAUAUUAAAGUUGUUGCAGCUAAAAAGCUCGUAGUUGGAUCUCGGGUCGUCGGUAGGGGUUCAGGUUCAUGCCUGCUUACUCCUGUCGAUACCUAACUGGUGGGACGCUGUGGGUGCCCUUGACUGGGUCGCCUACUGCACCCGCUCAAUUUACUUUGAAAAAAUUAGAGUGUUCAAGGCAGGCUCACACGCCUGUAUAAUGGUGCAUGGAAUAAUGGAAUAGGAUCUCGGUUCUAUUUUGUUGGUUUUCGGAACUAGAGAUAAUGAUUAAGAGGGACAGACGGGGGCAUUCGUAUUGCGGUGUUAGAGGUGAAAUUCUUGGAUCGCCGCAAGACGAACUACUGCGAAAGCAUUUGCCAAGAAUGUUUUCAUCA
rnacentral:rRNA from 1 species